UUUUUUUUUUUUUUUUUUUUUACAGAUUUAUCUAUUUGAGAGAGAACAAGAGAGGGAGAGAGGAGAGCGCAGAGGGAGAGGGAGAUACAGGCUCCCUGCUGUUUGUUUCUUUCUUCUCUUUGAGAUGGUCCCAUUAUACCUAGUUUGCACCUUUUCUAGUUUUUCCACAGUCCUUGGAUAUUGUGCUGGUUUUUUUUAUAGUUUUGUUCUCUCUGAUUUUUGGUUAUUAAGGGUUCUAUUGUCAUAAACUCUAAUUCAGAGAUUCUUUCCUCAGCCAUGUCAACUAAUAAACCCAUAGAGAUGUUCUUUCCUGUUAUAGUGUUUUUUUUCUCUAGUACUUUUUUGUUGCUAUUCUUUCUUACUAUUUCUAUGUCUCUGUUUACAUUACUCAGCUGUUUUUGUGUUGUCUACCUUAUCCAUCAGAGCCUAUAGCAUACUAAUUAAUCAUAGUUGUUGUAAAUUCCUGUUUUGUGAAAAACAGGGUAAGAAUCACAAACUUCGGAAAAUGUACAUGAUAUGAAAGUGGGGUGCUAUGUUAAAAAUAAAUAUAUAAUAACAAUAACAAAAUUCCAAUAUCUCCACUAUGUCUCGUUUUGAUGCUUGCUCUAUCUCUUCAAAUCAUGUUUUGUCUUUUGGUUUUGGUUUGCUUUAUUUUUUUUUCUUGAUAGUCAGACAUAAUAUGUUGGGGUAAAAGGAACUGCUACAAAUAAAACCUUCAGUAAUGUAGUGGUGGGGGGGGGAGGGGAACAUUGUAUAAUUCCAUGAUUAGGUCUUAGUCUUUUAGAAAGUCAAUGCUUAUGGACUGUGAACUUCACAAGAGCUUUUCAGUUGGCUCUUGUUUUUUUCUACUGGAGGAAGGACAGGAUGGGUAGAGCUGGCAAUAGUUGGGCGUUUCUCUUACUCAGAUUAGUUAGGUACUGAUAAGUCAGUUUAGGUUUCCUUAACGUUUCCCCUGAGGGCAGGGUGUGUUAAGAACAUAGUGAUCUGGUGUAUUUCAAAAUGGUUCCUUUUCCACUUGCCAGGAGAAAUGAACUUCUCCUUGACAGAAGUCCAAGAAGAGUUUUCUUCAAUAUUAAUUCUGGGAAUCUGUUCUAACCCCUAAAGGUGAAUCUCACAAUACUGUGAUGGGCCCGCUAUGAUUGGGUCUCACUGGAGUUGUUAAGUCUCAGAAUUGUCCAUAUUGAGCCUCCAACAAUUAAUUAUAGUGCAGGGUUUCCUACCCAGGCACCUGUUCUUGUGUGUGGUUUCAAUCUCUUAUGAAUUCAUAAGAGAUUUUUCAGUCUGACGAGCUUUUUACUUGUUGUUAGGAUAGAGUGGGAUUUCCAAGCUCCUCACAUGUAUAACCGAAACUGGAAACAUUUUUCCUUAAUUUUCAAUGGGAAUAUAUGAUCUUAUUCUUUUUUAUUUUUAAAGAUUUAUUUAUUUAUUUAUUCAUGGGACAGAGAGAGAGAGAGAGAGGAGAGAGAGAGAGAGAGGCAGAGACACUGGUAGAGGGAGAAGCAGGCUCCAUGCAGGGAGCCCAACGUGGGACUCGAUCCCAGAUCUCCAGGAUCAUGCCCUGGGCAGAAGGCGGAACUAAACCACUGAGCCACCCAGGCUGCCCCUGAUUUUAUUCUUAAGGACUAAAAACCUGUGUCAUUUAUUUUUUCACAAAUAAUGGUAACUUAUUCAUUCAUCUAUAUGAACUGAUGAAAUAUUAAAUUAAAAAUAUAUUUUUUCAAUUCAGGUAAAAGGGAAGUGCUCCCUUACUGCUAUUUUAAAAAUAACAACGUAAUGUUUAAUAGUUGAUUCUAUAUUUUAAAAUUUCCAUUUUAUUCUAAAAAGCAUUUUUCAUCUAACUUAUAUUAAUAAUUUUCAUUCUUUGCCACAUUUUCCUGAAUAAGUGAAAAAUAUUGCAAAGAUAGCCUGUGCCAAUUUUGCUGUGAACAAAGGUUAAAUUCUACACAUGGUUCUGCUAGCAAGAAAGCAAAAAUCUUCUAAAUAGGGUUGUAAAAACUUGUACUCUGUAUGUAAAAGUUGCUUUUCUUUCCCUUUAAUUGGUUUACUUUUUUAAAUUAUUAUUUUUAAAAUAUUUUAUUUAUUUAUUCAUGAGAAACACACAGAAAAAGGCAGAGACAUAGGCAGAGGGAGAAGCAGGCAGAGAGCCUGAUGUGGGACUCGAUCUCGGAGUCCCAGGAUCACACCCUGGGCCAAAGGCAGAUGCCCA
rnacentral:lncRNA from 1 species